GGCCGCGUCGACAUUAAGUCUGGUGUAAAAGGCAGUGGCUCAACCAUUGUAUGCGGUGGGUACGGGCAGACUAGAGUGCAGUAGGGGAGACUGGAAUUCCUGGUGUAGCGGUGGAAUGCGCAGAUAUCAGGAGGAACACCGAUGGCGAAGGCAGGUCUCUGGGCUGUAACUGACGCUGAGGAGCGAAAGCAUGGGGAGCGAACAGGAUUAGAUACCCUGGUAGUCCAUGCCGUAAACGUUGGGCACUAGGUGUGGGGACCAUUCUACGGUUUCCGCGCCGCAGCUAACGCAUUAAGUGCCCCGCCUGGGGAGUACGGCCGCAAGGCUAAAACUCAAAGGAAUUGACGGGGGCCCGCACAAGCGGCGGAGCAUGCGGAUUAAUUCGAUGCAACGCGAAGAACCUUACCAAGGCUUGACAUGUUCUCGAUCGCCGUAGAGAUACGGUUUCCCCUUUGGGGCGGGUUCACAGGUGGUGCAUGGUUGUCGUCAGCUCGUGUCGUGAGAUG
rnacentral:rRNA from 1 species